GAGAACCUCGAGGUUGGAGGACCUCAAAGUUGAGGGACCUCAAGGAGGUUGGAGAACCUCAAGGUUGAGGGACCUCAAGGUUGGAGAACCUCAACUUUGGAGAACCUCGAGGUUGGAGAACCUCAAAGUUGAGGGACCUCAAAGUUGGAGAACCUCAAAGUUGAGGGACCUCAAAGUUGGAGAAUCUCAAAGUUGAGGGACCUCAGGUUUGGAGAACCUCAAAGUUGAGGGACCUCAAAGUUGGAGAACCUCCAGGAGGUUGGAGAACCUCAAAGUUGGAGAACCUCAAAGUUGAGGGACCUCGAGGUUGGAGAACCUCAAGUUUGGAGAACCU